GUAAUUAAUUGAAAAUCAUAGCGGAAAUACCUGCCUGUCACGCAGGGGGUCGCGGGUUCGAGUCCCGUC
rnacentral:tRNA from 1 species